rnacentral:rRNA from 1 species
UACAGAGGGCCCAAGCGUUGUUCGGAUUCAUUGGGCGUAAAGGGUGCGUAGGCGGUGCGGUAAGUCGGGGGUGAAAUCUCGGAGCUUAACUCCGAAACUGCAUUCGAUACUGCCGUGCUUGAGGACUGGAGAGGAGACUGGAAUUUACGGUGUAGCGGUGAAAUGCGUAGAUAUCGUAAGGAAGACCAGUGGCGAAGGCGGGUCUCUGGACAGUUCCUGACGCUGAGGCACGAAGGCCAGGGGAGCAAACGGG